rnacentral:rRNA from 1 species
UACGUAGGGUGCGAGCGUUAAUCGGAAUUACUGGGCGUAAAGCGUGCGCAGGCGGUUUUGUAAGUCAGAUGUGAAAUCCCCGGGCUCAACCUGGGAACUGCAUUUGAGACUGCAAAGCUAGAGUGUGGCAGAGGGGGGUGGAAUUCCACGUGUAGCAGUGAAAUGCGUAGAGUAUGUCGGAGGAACACCGAUGGCGAAGGCAAGCCCCCUGGCCAGUACUGACGCUCAUGCACGAAAGCGUGGGGAGCAAACAGGAUUAGAUA